AGUCGUGAAGUCAGCUUUUAUCAGCGGUUCAAAGCCAGUGUUUCUUCUCUGGCGAAGGUACAGCACAAAGAUAAGGAGAAGCACCAGGAGACCGAUGAAGACACCCCCAAGGGUGGAUCCGAGCACGAACACAGCAGCUCCACCCUCAUCCGCUGUAAAGAAAAAAGAAAAGGAAGCAAGAGACAAGUAUUAGUACCAUCAUUAAGAAGAAGAAAAGGAGGAGUUGAUCAUAGAAAACCAACACCUAGAGCAGAGUGUCACUCCAUAUCAUUGCGACUGCUGUGGAAUCCUGGUAGAAAAAACAACAACAGAGAGGUUCCAACUAAACGGUACAUAUUGUGAGUGUCACAAUCCUCCCACGGUGCAUGGACCCACGAAUGUCCAAUUCCAACAGGUGCAAAGUGGAUACAAGUUUUUUUUUCUUCUUUUCCACGUCUCUUCCACAUUGAAGUGUCCAUUUUUAUCCCUUGGCAAAAGUUUGGCGAGCGCUCACGGAGACCUUAAAUAAAGGGUUAUUUAAAUUCUCAACUUGGACCAGCCAGGACACUUCUCAUGUUGCAUUAGCAAGAGCGUCGAUGCUAACAUUGCAGGCCGAUGUUCCCCUGUGAGCGCCUUUCCUCGUCCGUGGGCUGUGCUGCCUGCACAUGUAAGUAGUACAUACACACCAAGGGCAAUGUCACUCAUUCAGCAUCACAGGAGUAAAGCAGCAAAGGGAGUAGUAAGUAUGUUCUGCCCUCUAGUGGUAGCAUCAAAACACAGCAGGCUGAUACGGUCAGGAGUUCCAAUUUCAUAUUAUGUUUAUUUAUGUUUAUUUUAGUUCUCUAAUAAUGCAUCAUUUGUAGUCACCCAGAUCAGACAUAUUAAAUAGUGGUAUUAAGUACUAUUAUUACUAACUAUUAUUACUAACAAACAAAAAACAGACUGUGUACAUAUAUUUAUACUGUUAUUCUGUAUAUUUUGUAUUUUCAUAUUUUGUAUUUUUCAUUCUUUUUUAAUAGAUGUGUGUGCACCUACUAUACCAAAACAAAUUCCUAGUAUGUGUUUGAUCAUACAUGGCAAUAAACCUUUUCUGAUUCUGAUUCUAUUAUUAAGAUUAGAUGAAGUAUUAAGGCCACACUGAUGAUAAAUACUAGAGUAUUUUGAGAAUAAAGUAGCAAUAUUUUUAAA